AAUACUGCAACAAAGGUUACAGGAAAUAAAUUUAGCUCAGAAAUAUAUUAAGAGCGAGAGGAGAGGAGAGUCUAGACACAGGAUGAUUUAAAGAUGCACCUGCACACCAGCUGCUGUGGUGUCCUCAAACUGGGUGAGAAGAACAAUAUUACUGGGAGAGUUUCCACCGAUAAACUGUGUGAAAUAUCUGAACUGCAGGCAGGCCAAUUCAGCACCCGGACUCUUCUACAACGAAGCCAUGCUGUUGUAAUUGCUGCAGUAUGUGGUUUUUUGCAUUGUUCUGCUGAAAUACACAAGGCCUUCCCUGAAAUAGACGUCAUCUGGAGGGGAGCAUAUGUUGCUCUAAAACCUUUCAGCAUUCAUAGAGCCUUCCAAAACAUGCAAGCUGCCCAUACCGUAUGCACUUAUGGACCCCCAUACCAUCAGAGAUGCUGGCUUUUGAACUGAACGCUGAUAACACGCUGGAAGGUUUUCCUCCUCUUUAGCCCGGAGGACACGGCGUCCGUGAUUUCCAACAAGAAUGUCAAAUUUGGACUCGUCUGCCAUAGAAUACUUUUCCACUUUGAAACAGUCCAUUUAAAAUGAGCCUUGGCCCACAGGACACGACAGCGCUUCUGCACCAUGUUUACAUAUGGCUUCCUUUUUGCAUGAUAGAGCUUUAGUUGGCAUCUGCAGAUGGCACGGCGGAUUGUGUUUACCGACAGUGGUUUCUGGAAGUAUUCCUGGGCCCAUUUAGUAAUGUCAUUGACGCAAUCAUGCCGAUGAGUGAUGCAGUGUCGUCUGAGGGCCCGAAGACCACGGGCAUCCAAUAAAGGUCUUCGGCCUUGUCCCUUACGCACAGAGAUUUCUCCAGUUUCUCUGAAUCUUUUGAUGAUGUUAUGCACUGUAGAUCAGUGUUUCUCAACCACAUUCCUGGAGGCCCACCAACACUGCACAUUUUGCAUGUCUCCUUAAUUAAACACACCUGAUUAGGGUUAUCAGCUCAUUAGUAGUGACUCAAAGAUCUAAAAUGGGUGUGUCAGACAAAGGAGACAUGCAAAAUGUGCAGUGUUGGUGGGCCUCCAGGAAUGUGGUUGAGAACCACUGCUGUAGAUGAUGAGAUUUGCAAACCUUUGCAAUUUGACGUUGAGGAACAUUGUUUUUAAAGUAUUCCACAAUCUUUUUACACGCUCUUUCACAGCUCAUCUUUACUUGUGAGAGACUCUGCCUCUCUAAGACAUCCCUUUUAUAGCUAAUCAUGUUACAGACCUGAUAUCAAUUAACUUAACAGCCAUUUGUUGCCCCCGUGCCAACUUUUUUGAGACCUGUAGCAGGCAUCAAAUUUGAAAUGAGCUCAUUUAGUGGAUAAAAGCGUAAAAUUUCUCAGUUUAAACAUUUGUUAUGUUAUCUAUGUUCUAUUGUGAAUAAAAUAUUGGCUCAUGUGA